rnacentral:SRP_RNA from 1 species
UUAUUAGUUCCUCGCAACAGUGUUCAGCUUACUUAGUCAGGUUCGGAAGAAAGCAGCUUGGGUUGAAAUUUCUGUGUGCCGAGGGUUGCUGGUAACGC